rnacentral:rRNA from 3 species
GUAAAAAGUCGUAACAAGGUCUCCGUUGGUGAACCAGCGGAGGGAUCAUU